AAACUUAAGAGUUUGAUCCUGGCUCAGAUUGAACGCUGGCGGCAUGCUUUACACAUGCAAGUCGAACGGCAGCACGGGUGCUUGCACCUGGUGGCGAGUGGCGGACGGGUGAGUAAUACAUCGGAACGUGUCCUGAAGUGGGGGAUAACGCAUCGAAAGAUGUGCUAAUACCGCAUAUACUCUAAGGAGGAAAGUAGGGGAUCGAAAGACCUUAUGCUUUUGGAGCGGCCGAUGUCUGAUUAGCUAGUUGGUAAGGUAAUGGCUUACCAAGGCGACGAUCAGUAGUUGGUCUGAGAGGACGACCAGCCACACUGGGACUGAGACACGGCCCAGACUCCUACGGGAGGCAGCAGUGGGGAAUCUUAGACAAUGGGGGAAACCCUGAUCUAGCCAUGCCGCGUGAUCGAUGGAGGCCUUAGGGUUGUAAAGAUCUUUCAGAUGGG
rnacentral:rRNA from 1 species